GACGAACGCUGGCGGCGUGCUUAACACAUGCAAGUCGAACGGAAAGGCCCUGCUUUUGUGGGGUGCUCGAGUGGCGAACGGGUGAGUAACACGUGAGUAACCUGCCCUUGACUUUGGGAUAAAUUCAGGAAACUGGGGCUAAUACCGGAUAGGAGCUCCUGCUGCAUGGUGGGGGUUGGAAAGAUUCGGCGGUUGGGGAUGGAAUCGCGGCUUAUCAGCUUGUUGGUGGGGUAGGGGCUUACCAAGGCUUUGACGGGUAGCCGGCCUGAGAGCGUGACCGGCCACAUUGGGACUGAGAUACGCCCCAGAAGCCUACGGGCGGCAGCAGUGGGGAAUAUUGCACAAUGGGCGGACGCCUGAUGCAGCAACGCCGCGUGCGGGAUGACGGCCUUCGGGUUGUAAACCGCUUUCGCCUGUGCCGAAGCGUGAGUGACGGUAAUGGGUAAAGAAGCACCGGCUAACUACGUG
rnacentral:rRNA from 1 species